rnacentral:RNase_P_RNA from 2 species
AAAGUAAGUCAAACGAUAGCCCCAUUAGAUGCGCGUGAGCGCUAUCUAACAGGGAGGAAAGUCCGGACACUUUCCGCCGAUGAGGCGGAUAAAAAAGUACAGGCUAACAGCCUGCCGUCGUAAGACGAGAGGUGCGAUCAGAAACGUUCCGGUUUGAAAAGACCGGGAAGACCCAAUCCUAAGCUAGUCGGUCUAGCUCUGCCAUAAGGAUAAAAAAGCAGAGAUGAAACGGCUAAAUCCUUACUGAGUGCAAGGUCGUGCCCGCAAGGGAGUGCCGCUUGAGCCUGCGAGUAAUCAAUGGCCCAGAUAAAUUAUCGUUUAAACAGAAUCCGGCUUAUGACUUACUAGAAAA